rnacentral:rRNA from 1 species
AUUGAACGCUGGCGGCAGGCCUAACACAUGCUAGUCGAGCGGCAGCGGGAAAGUAGCUUGCUACUUUUGCCGGCGAGCGGCGGACGGGUGAGUAAUGCCUGGGAAAUUGCCCAGUCGAGGGGGAUAACAGUUGGAAACGACUGCUAAUACCGCAUACGCCCUACGGGGGAAAGCAGGGGACCUUCGGGCCUUGCGCGAUUGGAUAUGCCCAGGUGGGAUUAGCUAGUUGGUGAGGUAAUGGCUCACCAAGGCGACGAUCCCUAGCUGGUCUGGGAGGAUGGUCAGCCACACUGGAACUGAGACACGGUCCAGACUCCUACGGGAGGCAGCAGUGGGGAAUAUUGCACAAUGGGGGAAACCCUGAUGCAGCCAUGCCGCGUGUGUGAAGAAGGCCUUCGGGUUGUAAAGCACUUUCAGCGAGGAGGAAAGGUUGUUGGCUAAUAUCUAACAGCUGUGACGUUACUCGCAGAAGAAGCACCGGCUAACUCCGUGCCAGCCGCCGCCGUAACAC